rnacentral:lncRNA from 1 species
ACUCGCCUCCCCACUUGCCCAGGCUCGGCUCUAUUCCUUUAGGCUCGGCCGGACUCGGCUCUACACGUCUGUAUUCGGCCAGGAUCGGCUCUGCUCGGCCAAGCUCGGACUUACUCGGAUCUGCUUGGCUCUACACUGGCCAAGACCUUGGUUCCGCGCGGUGGCGUUCCUCCCUGCCUGCCGGCUCUGGAUUUCGUGGGUGUAGGCCCCGGAGGCUCGAGCAGAGUCACGUCUUCAGCUCGCGGUUUUUUUUUUUGCUGCUCUGGACUUAGGGAGAACCACAGGAGCCCUGGAGACUGGCAAGUUCCAGGCCGCAGACUUCACCUCCUCUGCAGAAAUAGGCCCAGAGACAGCCCUGGUCAAGCACAGAGAGCCUGCAGGCUGUUCUAUCCAUGCUGUGUGUGGCUGUGAGUGGGGAUGAGUCUAGUGUGCACAGCCCAAGAUGUAAGUCUGUCUCUGUUCUCCGCACCCCUGGGCCUCCCCUGCCCUAGCAUGCAUUGUGGGAACUUUGGUGGGCUGGAGAGUGCUGCCAUUCUGCAGGAUAUGAGUUCCUUCCCACUUACUGCAUGACUUUGGGCAAGUCCCUUCACUGCCUGACUAGCUUCCUGUCUCCUAACUGGUGCAGGAAUAGGCAAAAUAAUGGCGUGAUGGUGCAGGCCUGUAAUCCCAGCACUCAGGAGGCCAGUCUGGACUACACAGGGAAACCCU